AGAGUUUGAUCCUGGCUCAGAGCGAACGCUGGCGGCGUGCUUAACACAUGCAAGUCGAACGGGUGUAGCAAUACAUCCGUGGCGAACGGGUGCGUAACACGUGGAUAACCUUCCUUCAGGUGGGGAAUAACCCAGUGAAAAUUGGGCUAAUACCGCAUAACAAGACCGGGGCUCAUGCUCUGGCCUUCAAAGCCGCAAGGCGCCAGAAGAGGGAUCCGCGGCCGAUUAGCUUGUUGGCGGGGUAACGGCCCACCAAGGCAAUGAUCGGUAGCCGGAUUGAGAGGUUGGCCGGCCACACUGGAACUGAGACACGGUCCAGACUCCUACGGGAGGCAGCAGUGGGGAAUCUUGCACAAUGGGCGAAAGCCUGAUGCAGCAACGCCGCGUGGGGGAUGAAGCUUCUCGGAGUGUAAACCCCUUUCGACCCGGAAGAAUGCCCGCAAGGGCUUGACGGUACGGGUAUAAGAAGCCCCGGCUAACUACGUGCCAGCAGCCGCGGUAAUACGUAGGGGGCCAGCGUUGCUCGGAAUUACUGGGCGUAAAGGGUCCGUAGGCGGUGUGGCAAGUCGGGAGUGAAAUCUCUGGGCUUAACCCAGAGGCUGCUUCCGAAACUGCCGUGCUAGAGUGUGAGAGAGGCGAGUGGAAUUGCGGGUGUAGCGGUGAAAUGCGUAGAUAUCCGCAGGAACAUCCGAGGCGAAAGCGGCUCGCUGGAUCACAACUGACGCUGAGGGACGAAAGCUAGGGGAGCAAACAGGAUUAGAUACCCCAGUAGUCC
rnacentral:rRNA from 1 species